rnacentral:piRNA from 1 species
UAAAGCACAAGGUGGACUGUUUGAGUU